CACUCAGAGGUCCUGAAAACACUGGAGAUGUUGGACGGGCCGGUGGCUCCACAAAUGUCAAAUCUCAGACUGAGCUCAGAGAUGUUGGACAGAGGAGAAAACGAGGUGAUCCAGGGAAGAGCUCCGACUACUAGAAUGUGAAUCCAGACUCAUCUACAGGUCCAUAAAGAGAAGUG